rnacentral:rRNA from 1 species
CUACGGGACGCUCCAGUGAGGAAUAUUGCACAAUGGGGGGAACCCUGAUGCAGCAACGCCGCGUGGAGGAUGACGCAUUUCGGUGUGUAAACUCCUUUUAUAUGUCAAGAAAAUGACGGUAGCAUAUGAAUAAGCACCGGCUAACUCCGUGCCAGCAGCCGCGGUAAUACGGAGGGUGCAAGCGUUACUCGGAAUCACUGGGCGUAAAGGACGCGUAGGCGGGUUGGAAAGUCAGGUGUGAAAUCCUACAGCUUAACUGUAGAACUGCACUUGAAACUUCUAGUCUGGAGUAUGGGAGGGGGAGAUGGAAUUAGUGGUGUAGGGGUAAAAUCCGUAGAUAUCACUAGGAAUACCUAAAGCGAAGGCGAUCUCCUGGAACAUUACUGACGCUAAGGCGUGAAAGCGUGGGGAGCAAACAGGAUUAGAUACCCCGGUAGUC